rnacentral:lncRNA from 1 species
CUGCUGUCCCCCACAGUAUUCAUUCAAGAUGAAUCUUUAAAAAAUGCAUCAGUGUACACGCCAUCUGAUUGCAGAGACCAUCUUCUACCUGCACUGUUUAAUACAUAGAAAUUCUUUUCCUUGUUGUCAGGUUGACGUGUUUGUCACACCUGCAUCUCAGAAGGCACUGGGAACUCAGGGUUCCUGCCCAUGGGGAGCUUUCUUUUUCGCAGUGGAGCUACACAAUAAACACGUCUGUGAGCUGGAGCUGUAAUUUUGGAGAAUCAUAGACUUUAGCGGUGAAAGAAAACCCAAGGCAAUGUCUGGGCCACCUUUCUGACUUUGGUGGCACCUCGAAGUCAGCACGUCCUGAAGUGAGAACAUCAUCUUCUGUGCCAGUCUGCCUCUUCUGUGAAACACUGGAAAUAGCACCACCUUACUGCCUAUGCUGGAAAUUGGCACUUUAGAGAUGUCAACCCAUUCACUUUUGAUCGCCAUCAUUUCUGAUGGGAAAUAAGCAGUCAAAUAAAUCAUUGUUCAAAUGUAUGUAAGUGUUGUUUCUUCUGACUACUUUCAAGAUUUUCUCCUUACUUUUGGGUUCUGCAGUUUGACUAAGGUAUGUUUAGGUGCAUUUAUUUUGAAUUUAUCCUGCUUGGAGU